GGGAAUGUGGCUUAGUGGUAGAGUGCUUGCCUAACAUGCAUGAAGCCCUGGGUUUGAUUCCUCAGUACUA
rnacentral:tRNA from 1 species